AUACUUACCUAGCAGGGGAAAUACUAUGAUUAAGAAGGUGGUUUCUCCAGGUUGAGGGUCUUCCAUUGCACACCUCAGUUGGGUUGAUUUCCCCAAAUUUGGGAAACUCAACUGCAUAAUAUAUGGUAAUGGGGGACUGUAUUUGCACAGUUCCCUU